CCAGCCCCAGGACUCCCAGGUCUGCCCACUCGCUGCUCAGGACUGAACACAGACGACUCACCAUGGAGUCUGGGCUGAGCUGCCUUCUCCUCGUUGUUCUGUUACAAGGUGUCCAGUGUGAUGUGAAGCUGGUGGAGUCUGGGGGAGGCUUGGUCCAGCCUGGGGGGGUCCCUGAGACUCUCCUGUGCAGCCUCUGGAUUCACCUUCACUGAUUACGGCAUGAACUGGGUCCGCCAGGCCCCAGGGAAGGGGCUGGAGUGGGUGGCAGGAGUGAGUCAACCAUCCGGAAGUAAGCAGUGGUACUCUCCAUCAGUACAAGGGAGAUUCACAAUCUCCAGAGACAACCCUACAAACACAGUCUCCCUUGAAAUGACUAAUCUGAAACCUGAAGACACAGCCUUGUAUUACUGCACGAGGGACACAAGGCUGUGCUACUGGAACCUUAACUUCUGGGGCCAGGGCACCCUGGUCACCGUCACCUCAGGGACUGAGAGCCACCCACGGCUGUUCCCCCUGGUCUCCUGUGAGAACUCCCUGCUAGACACGAGCACCGUGGUGCUGGGCUGCCUGGCCUGGGACUUCCUGCCCAGUGGCGUCACCUUCUCCUGGAACUACAAGAACUCAUCUGUCAUCAGCAGCUUCAGGACCUUUCCAGACAUCCUGAGGGAGGGCAAGUACAUGGCCACCUCGCAGGUGCUGCUGCCCUCCAAGGAUUUCCUACUGGGCACAGACAACCACCUGGUGUGCCAGGUGGAGCACAACAAAGUCAAAAGGAACGUGAACGUGCCUCUUCCAGUGAUUCUGGAGCAGCCCCCCAACGUGAGUGUGUUCAUCCCGUCCCGCGAUGCUUUCUCCGGCUCCAGCCCCCGCAGGGCCAGGCUCAUCUGCCAGGCCACAGACUUCAGCCCCCGGCAGGUCACAGUGUCCUGGCUGCGUGAUGGGAAGCAACUAGAGUCUGGCUUCUCCACAGACCCGGUGGAAGCUCAGGCCCAAGGGUCUGGGCCCUCCACCUUCAAGGUUACCAGCACACUGACCAUCAGUGAGAGCGACUGGCUGAACCAGAAUGUGUUCAGCUGCCGCGUGGAUCACAGAGGCCUGCCCUUCCUGAAGAAUGUGUCCUCCGUGUGCGGCACCAGUCCAACCACGAACAUCCAAGUCUUCACCAUCCCUCCCACAUUCGCCAGCAUCUUCCUCAGCAAGUCCACCAAGCUGUCCUGCCUUGUCACAGACCUGGCCACCUAUGAUAGUCUCACCAUCUCCUGGACCCGCCAGAAUGGCGAGCCCCUGAAGACCCACACCAACAUCUCUGAGAGCCACCCCAACGCCACCUUCAGCGUCAUGGGUGAGGCCAGCAUCUGUGAGGACGACUGGAACUCGGGGGAGAGAUUCACGUGCACUGUGACCCACACAGACCUGCCCUCACCACUAAAGCAGAGUGUCUCCAAGCCCAAGAACAUGGCCCUGCACAAGCCUGAAGUCUACGUGCUGCCCCCGGCCCGGGAGCAGCUAAACCUGCGGGAGGCAGCCACCAUCACCUGCCUGGUGAAGAGCUUCUCCCCUGCAGACGUAUUUGUGCAGUGGAUGCAGAGGGGGCAGCCUGUGUCCUCGGACAAGUAUGUGACCAGCGCUGCAAAGCCUGAGCCCCAUGCUCCAGGCCUCUACUUCGCCCACAGCUUCCUGACCGUGCCCGAGGAGGACUGGAACUCGGGGGAAGCCUUCACCUGUGUCGUGGCCCAUGAGGCCCUGCCCAACAGGGUCACUGAGAGGACCGUGGACAAGUCCACCGAGGGAGAGGUGAGUGCUGAGGAGGAGGGCUUCGAGAGUCUGUGGACCACCGCCUCCACCUUCAUCGUCCUCUUCCUGCUGAGCCUCUUCUACAGCACCACUGUCACCUUGUUCAAGGUGAAAUGACCACCCAGUGAGAGAGUGUCAGAGACCAAAGAGACGGACCAGAAAGUCUCUGCUGCGAGCCCAGAGCACCUGCAUCCCGUCUUGUGCCUUGCUGUGCUUAGAUCCUGCCCUGCAGCUCUGAGCUCGAAAAGCGGCUUCUGUCUGUCCAGCCAGGUGCCCACCGGUGUGGGGUGGUGUGUAGGGUCUGCCCAAGCCUAUGCUGCCCUGCACACAUUUGCUGCCCUAAAAUAAACAUGUGUAUUUUAUCUCGUGA